rnacentral:lncRNA from 1 species
AUGAAAUUCUAGCCCCAAAACCCAACUGGCCAAUUACUAGCCACAAUGCUUCCAAUAAAGAUUUGCAGUGGAUUCACAUAAAACACACAGAUAGAACAGACACAAAGACCAUUAAAAGAAGACUAAAAAGAAACGAGGGUCAAGCAGUGAUCUUCACAGACUCCUCUAGUAAAACUGUAAUUCUAAAUCAUAUGACCUCUCUGGGCCACACCUGCCUGGGAGAAGCAGGUUUAUGGAGUAGAAAGAUAUCAGGGCAGAAAUCGCAAGCCUUCAGGUCACUGCAUCCAUGAGCCAUCAAUUUCCUCACCCGUCAGCAAGAAGAACCAUGAGAAGACAAAAGAAAAAGAAAAUACAAAGAACAAACAGGUCAACUGAGCCCACGGAAACACUAUUGAUCCUGUGCUGUGUGACCAGUUCAGGGACAAUGCAGAUGAAUCCAUUCUCUGCCUCAGGAAGCUCACAGUCUAGUAUAAGAAGGAGGGGGAUGUAGGGUCCUGAACAAAAUAAUGCAAUGACAGAGGAAGAAACGUGCACAACAAGAAGCCACCUCACCGGGCCAGAGGCAGGCAGUGGGAGGUGCUGCCCACAGAGCCAUGCAGUGGAGACAUCUCUCCUAAAGUUCCAGCUGAAAGCAUGCCCUGGGUCAGGGAAGUUCAUUCCAGUGUCUCUAUUCCGUCCUCACCCCCACCUGGCCUUGGCUCUCUUCUCCAUUCUGCUUCUUUUCCAAGCUGCCAAGGCAACAUUGUAGAAGCAUGAAGCUGCAAGGGAUCUCAAAACCAGCAGGCCCAGAAAUGUCCAAAGCUUCAAGAUAGAUCAUGCUCUUGUCACCCAUCUCUCUCUUGGAAAUAAUCUCGGCAUCUUCUCAGCAGACGGCCACACAACCUCGGUGGGAAGGAUAGGAGUAUAGAGAUGGCCGCUGGGUCUGGCUUCUUUCCAAAAGAAGGCGGCUCUCCUUGAGCAGCUCCUGACUCUCAGGGCGU